rnacentral:rRNA from 1 species
UACAGAGGUCUCAAGCGUUGUUCGGAUUCAUUGGGCGUAAAGGGUGUGUAGGUGGCGCGCUAAGUCGGGUGUGAAAUUUCGGAGCUUAACUCCGAAACUGCAUUCGAUACUGGCGUGCUUGAGGACUGGAGAGGAGACUGGAAUUCAUGGUGUAGCAGUGAAAUGCGUAGAGAUCAUGAGGAAGACCAGUGCGAAGGCGGGUCUCUGGACAGUUCCUGACACUGAGACACGAAGGCCAGGGGAGCAAACGGG